CCCUAUAGAACCCCCUAUAACCCCAUAACCCCCCCUAAAACCCCAUAAGACCCCAUAGGACCCCAUAGGACCCCAUAGGUGCGGUGGGGGCGGGGCGGCCGCUCACCUUUGUCCCUUCGGGGUGGGGUUGGGGUGGGUGACCCCAUAGAACCCCAUAGAACCCCCUAAAAUCCCCUAAAACCCCAUAGAACCCCAUAACCCCCCCUAAGACCCCAUAACCCCCCUAAAACCCCAUAUAAAACCCCAUAGGACCCCAUAAGUGCGGUGGGGGCGGGGCGGCCGCUCACCUUUGUCCCUUUGGGGUGGGGUUGGGG
ensembl:lncRNA